AUAUGAAACAAAAUUUAAAGGGUUGAUGCCGGCAUCUCUAAGACAAGAACUUGAAGACACCAUCUCCUCCCUAAAGUCACAGGUUAACUUCCUGCAGAAGCGGGCGUCUGUCCUACAGGAUGAGCUGACUGCCUACCAAAGCAGAAGGUGACCGUGUGGAGGCCCCCCGCGUCACCCCGGAGAGGGCGGUGGAUCCAGCCGUCCCAGCUGCACCACAGAUUUCUUCCAGCAGGUUUGAAGAUUCGGAUAUUAUUUCAGUAAACUGUGAGACCAGUGGCAUUUUUUGACACUUAAAUGUAAUUAAGAUCAUAAAAA
rnacentral:lncRNA from 1 species